CGAAUUUUUUGCAUUUUUUUCGAAGAUUAAAUACGUUUCACACACUUAAAAAUACCCUAAAAAACUUAAAAUCGGUGUUAAAAAUUCUUUUCGACCAAUUUUGAAAUUUCUACACGGUGGCAUUGCCGUGCUCCGACGACGGCACCACCACUAGCGGUGGCGGUUUGCCUCAGUCUGACCGUUUUCGACCAAUUUUGGCCGACUUUAUACGUAUCCCUAUGAAAAAAUACGUUAGGGGGUCUCAGUUGGCCGAAAAAAAUCAGAAAACAGAAACCCACUGGUUGUGGGGUUUCCGGGUGCGGCGGCUCAGCCAGCUCAUUUUCGCGGCUGAAAUUUCUUCUUCAGUCAACCUGCAAAAAAAAAAAACGAUGAACACAACGGUAGAAAAAUCGCACGAAACGGGAAACAUAUAAUAGCUCAUCGGAGGAGGUUGCAGAUUUUGUCUGCCGCUGCUCUACCGGGCUUUGCUCGCAGUUUUUAACUCACUUGUUGUUCGUUUUGCCCCAAUAUGGCCACAUGAGUGCUUGGAAUUGAAUUCUGAGCUGGUAGGAGAAUUUUUACCUUCUUUGGCGGUCGAAGGUGACUCUGAUGUAGCAGCGGUCGGCGGUCGGCUCUCUUCUCCAGCGUCUGGUUUUUCUUCUCCGGCAGGGGAUUGACGGUUAGGAUUCGAGUC
rnacentral:lncRNA from 1 species